rnacentral:rRNA from 1 species
GUACGGGAGGCAGCAGUCGAGAAUUUUUCUCAAUGGGCGAAAGCCUGAAGGAGCGACGCCGCGUGGGGGAUGAAGGGCUUCGGCUCGUAAACCCCUGUCAUUUGCGAACAAACCUUACGAUCUAAUAAGUCGUGAGCUGAUUGUAGCGAAAGAGGAAGGGACGGCUAACUCUGUGCCAGCAGCCGCGGUAAUACAGAGGUCCAAGCGUUGUUCGGAUUCACUGGGCGUAAAGGGUGCGUAGGUGGCAGGGUAAGUUUGAUGUGAAAUCUCCGGGCUUAACCCGGAAACUGCAUUGAAUACUAUCUUGCUCGAGGGUUGGAGGGGGGACUGGAAUUCUUGGUGUAGCAGUGAAAUGCGUAGAUAUCAAGAGGAACACCAGUGGCGAAGGCGAGUCCCUGGACAACUCCUGACACUGAGGCACGAAAGCUAGGGGAGCAAACAGGAUUAGAUACCCCGGUAGC